rnacentral:rRNA from 1 species
GAUGAACGCUGGCGGCGUGCCUAAUACAUGCAAGUCGAGCGAACAGACGAGGAGCUUGCUCCUCUGACGUUAGCGGCGGACGGGUGAGUAACACGUGGAUAACCUACCUAUAAGACUGGGAUAACUUCGGGAAACCGGAGCUAAUACCGGAUAAUAUAUUGAACCGCAUGGUUCAAUAGUGAAAGACGGUUUUGCUGUCACUUAUAGAUGGAUCCGCGCCGCAUUAGCUAGUUGGUAAGGUAACGGCUUACCAAGGCGACGAUGCGUAGCCGACCUGAGAGGGGGAUCGGCCACAUGGGAACUGAGACACGGUCCAGACUCCUACGGGAGGGAGCAGUAGGGAAUCUUCCGCAAUGGGCGAAAGCAUGACGGAGCAACGCCGCGUGAGUGAUGAAGGUCUUCGGAUCGUAAAACUCUGUUAUUAGGGAAGAACAAAUGUGUAAGUAACUAUGCACGUCUUGACGGUACCUAAUCAGAAAGCCACGGCUAACUACGUG